GUCCAAGCUGUAAACGAUGAUUACUAGGUGUGGGGGGUCUGACCCCUUCCGUGCCGGAGUUAACACAAUAAGUAAUCCACCUGGGGAGUACGGUCGCAAGACUGAAACUCAAAGGAAUUGACGGGGGCCCGCACAAGCAGUGGAGUAUGUGGUUUAAUUCGAAGCAACGCGAAGAACCUUACCAGGUCUUGACAUCCUAAGAAUCCUUCAGAGAUGAGGGAGUGCCUUCGGGAACUUAGAGACAGGUGGUGCAUGGUUGUCGU
rnacentral:rRNA from 1 species